rnacentral:rRNA from 1 species
UCGCACGAGAAAGCGGGAGCAAUCUCGCAAGUACAGUGGCGUACGGGUGAGUAACACGUGGGUGAUCUACCCUUUAGUGGGGAAUAACGCUGGGAAACCGGCGCUAAUAUCGCAUAAGCUCGAGAGAGGAAAGCAGCAAUGCGCUGAAGGAGGAGCCCGCGGCCGAUUAGCUGGUUGGUAGGGUAAGAGCCUACCAAGGCAUAGAUCGGUAGCCGGCCUGAGAGGGCACACGGCCACACUGGCACUGAAACACGGGCCAGACUCCUACGGGAGGCAGCAGUGGGGAAUCUUGCACAAUGGGGGAAACCCUGAUGCAGCGACGCCGCGUGAGCGAUGAAGCCCUUCGGGGUGUAAAGCUCUUUCGGCAGGGACGAUAAUGACGGUACCUGCAGAAGCAGCUGCGGCUAACUACGUGCCAGCAGCCGCGGUAAUACGUAGGCAGCGAGCGUUGUUCGGAGUUACUGGGCGUAAAGGGUGUGUAGGCGGUUUUCUAAGUUUGGUGUGAAAUCUCCCGGCUCAACCGGGAGGGUGCGCCGAAAACUGGGAGACUAGAGUGCGGGAUGGGAGAGUAGAAUUCCUGGUGUAGCGGUGAAAUGCGUAGAUAUCAGGAGGAAUACCGGUGGUGUAGACGGCUCUCUGGACCGCCACUGACGCUGAGACACGAAAGCGUGGGUAGCAAACAGGAUUAGAUACCCUGGUAGUCCACGCCCUAAACGAUGCAUAUUUGGUGUAGGUCAUUCAGUUGAUCUGUGCAGGAGCUAACGCGUUA